rnacentral:lncRNA from 1 species
ACAGUUUUACAUAUCAAGGCCAUGUGAGGGACGGAGAGAUGGGACAGGUUUAAACAUAUCAGAGGCCAUGUGAGGGACGGAGAGAUGGACAGGUUUAAACAUAUCAGAGGCCAUGUGAGGGACGGAGAGAUGGACAGGUUUAAACAUAUCGAGGCACAUGUGAGGGACGGAGAGAUGGACAGGUUUAACAUAUCAGAGGCCAUGUGAGGGACGGAGAGAUGGACCAGGUUUAACAUAUCAGAGCCAUGUGAGGGACGGAGAGAUGGACAGGUUUAAACAUAUCAGAAGCCAUGUGAGG